CUGCAUCUGAUGUAUGAAACUUAGGUGGGCUUUUAAAAGAUUUUGGGCUAAAUAGCAGAUUGAAGAAGCUACAAGCUGCUGGUAUUUGCUCCAUGAAACCAAUUGUCUUCUGAAGCUAAAAGCACCACUGAUAAUAUCUCAGCCCAAGGAGGAGCCAUGGACUCUGUGUCAUUAGCAUCUUCACGUAUGUCCAAGUGCUCUGUUCCUUAGUUUCAGACAGCUGCUUCUGAAACAUAUUCUAGAAGCUCUCCAAAUACAAGCAGCAGAGUGUGUGUCAGGCAGAAGUACUUAGAGCUGAGGGAUCCCUGCAAUCUUGAGAAACAAAUUAGCAAAGUAUUAACAGAUCAGAGUCUGCAGCUGCGCUGGAUGAAAGGCUUCCUAGGAACAGACACCCACGUUUUGGUUGUGUUCCCUUAGUUCUGGAACAGCACGAGAGAGGGGUAACUGUUAGAAGGGCACAG